AGACCAUGAUGCGGACAACGCCUUAGUAAUUCUUUAAACCUCUCCCAUGCUUCAUACGGAGAUUCACCAUCCAUCUCGCACAAAAGUAGAAAUAUCGUUACGCAUCUU